rnacentral:rRNA from 1 species
UAAUACUAGCCUAAUAUUCACAUAUAACUCAAGUACUAUAUAUAUAUAUAUUACAAACAAAACAUUUACAUCUAAAAGUAUAGGUGAUAGAAAUUUAAAAUUUACAUAGCGCUAUAGAGAUAGUACCGUAAGGGAAAGAUGAAAGAAGAAUAAAAGUACAACAAGCAUAGAUUACACCUAGUACCUUUUGCAUAAUGAGUUAACUAGAAUAAACUUGACAAAAAGAAUUUAAGUCAAAAUUCCCGAAACCAAACGAGCUACUUCUGAACAGCUAACAUGAGCAAACUCGUCUAUGUAGCAAAAUAGUGAGAAGAUUUAGAAGUAGAGGUGAAAAGCCUAUCGAGCUUGGUGAUAGCUGGUUAUCCAAAUAAGAAUCUCAGUUCAGCUUUAAGUUUUCCUAAAAACCAUAAAAUUUAAAUGAAAACUUAAAUGCUAAUUUAAGGAGGGACAGCUCCUUAAGUAAGGAUACAUCCUUAAACAGAGGGUAAAAACUAUAAAUACCAUAGUAGGCUUAAAAGCAGCCACCAAUUAAGAAAGCGUUCUAGCUCAACAAAACACCUAAUUUUAUCCCUAAAACAUAUCAAUAAACCCCUGUCGAGACAAUUGGAUUAAUCUAUUAUUUCAUAGAAGAAACAAUGUUAAUAUUAGUAAUUAGAAUUAUUUCUCCUUGCACAAGCCUAAACUAUUCAAACAUAAUAAAUUAACAACCAUAUAAAAGAUACACCUACAAGUAGAUUAUUACUGCAAUUGUUAUCCCAACCCAGGAGUGCAAUAAGGAAAGACUAAAACAAGUAAAAGGAACUCGGCAAA